rnacentral:rRNA from 1 species
AGAUGAGGAGCUUGCUCCUCUGACGUUAGCGGCGGACGGGUGAGUAACACGUGGAUAACCUACCUAUAAGACUGGGAUAACUUCGGGAAACCGGAGCUAAUACCGGAUAAUAUAUUGAACCGCAUGGUUCAAUAGUGAAAGACGGUUUUGCUGUCACUUAUAGAUGGAUCCGCGCCGCAUUAGCUAGUUGGUAAGGUAACGGCUUACCAAGGCAACGAUGCGUAGCCGACCUGAGAGGGUGAUCGGCCACACUGGAACUGAGACACGGUCCAGACUCCUACGGGAGGCAGCAGUAGGGAAUCUUCCGCAAUGGGCGAAAGCCUGACGGAGCAACGCCGCGUGAGUGAUGAAGGUCUUCGGAUCGUAAAACUCUGUUAUUAGGGAAGAACAAAUGUGUAAGUAACUAUGCACGUCUUGACGGUACCUAAUCAGAAAGCCACGGCUAACUACGUGCCAGCAGCCGCGGUAAUACGUAGGUGGCAAGCGUUAUCCGGAAUUAUUGGGCGUAAAGCGCGCGUAGGCGGUUUUUUAAGUCUGAUGUGAAAGCCCACGGCUCAACCGUGGAGGGUCAUUGGAAACUGGAAAACUUGAGUGCAGAAGAGGAAAGUGGAAUUCCAUGUGUAGCGGUGAAAUGCGCAGAGAUAUGGAGGAACACCAGUGGCGAAGGCGACUUUCU